rnacentral:rRNA from 1 species
CCUACGGGAGGCAGCAGUGAGGAAUAUUGGUCAAUGGGCGCAAGCCUGAACCAGCCAAGUCGCGUGAGGGAUGACGGUCCUAUGGAUUGUAAACUUCUUUUAUAAAGGAAUAAAACGAGGCACGUGUGCCUUUUUGCAUGUACUUUAUGAAUAAGGAUCGGCUAACUCCGUGCCAGCAGCCGCGGUAAUACGGAGGAUCCGAGCGUUAUCCGGAUUUAUUGGGUUUAAAGGGAGCGUAGAUGGGUUGUUAAGUCAGUUGUGAAAGUUUGCGGCUCAACCGUAAAAUUGCAAUUGAUACUGGCAGUCUUGAGUACAGUUGAGGUAGGCGGAAUUCGUGGUGUAGCGGUGAAAUGCUUAGAUAUCACGAAGAACCCCGAUUGCGAAGGCAGCUUACUAAACUGUGACUGACAUUGAUGCUCGAAAGUGUGGGUAUCAAACAGGAUUAGAUACCCCUGUAGUC